AUUCUUUGUCCUCACUCCUCUAUACCUGCAUACAGCGUGAGCGUACUUUUUCUGUUUGUCAAGUAUUACAUGAAAAAUGGUUACAUUUCCUGUAAAAACCUAUGUUAAUGUUUAUCAGUAAAAGGGGUAAACAAUAAGAAUAAAAAAUUGUAUUAAAACAGCAAAUUAAUUCCUUCCUAAUUUGAAAAGGUAUUGCAAACCCUUAAAUUUAAAUACUUCACUUAAACUUGCUAAUCACCCUUUCGGCUCAAUUUGGAGAGAAAAAGAGGGAAGAUAACAGUUUAGAACCUAUAGCAGCACUCAUUGAGUCAUCUUAUAGAAACUUCAGCCAAAGCUGCAUAUAUCUUUUCAGUCUUAAUCAUAACAAAGGAUAUCAUAACAAUACAACAUUUCAGAAGGUUAACAGUAAGAGUUUCAUGAAAUAAAAGAUUAUAAAUAACUUUACCCUAAGAAAUAAUUUUCCAAAUGAUCAUCUUCAAUCUAACAUUUGCCAAAUUUUCUUCACAGUUCAAACACUUCUAGUAUAACUUUCCUCCAUUUCAUUCAAAAAGUUCUCCGACCAAACCAAAGUGCAUGUUUGAAAAUGAAUUAUUUUAAAAAAUAACCAUUUUCACUUCAUAACUCACAAAACUUUUCAUUGAUAACAAUCGCAUUUCUUUCCAAAACCUCUGGAAAAAAAAGUAAAGAAAAGCACAUUAUAAGUUUAUUUCAUUUUCACUCUAAAAUGAACUAACCGAAUUAUGCAUAAAGCAUCAAUCAAUCAACCUCAUCACCCGAAUCACCACUUAAUUCAACUAUAAUCCACUACAUUCGCGCUUCAUAGCAAGAGGAACAGCAAUAACAAAAAAAUACCGAAAAAUAAACUUCAUCACGAUUAUUCAGGAUUUAGAUGAGAUAAAGGGCCAGUUUGUUUUAGGGUUUAAACUUAUUUGUUAAAAAAACGCUUAUUUUAAUAAAAUAAGUAUUAAAAUAAGCAGCUUUCUGGUUUCUUAGAGCAUGUAUUCUAAGUUGUUGUGAACAAAUUCCAAGACCAAAUUCGAUGGCUCAACACAAACAGAACACAAAAGGAAGGGUGGGAUGCUUUUGCAAAGCUCCGUUUGAUUCCAACGUCUGUUUGCAAUGGUUACCGUAACCCUGCACUUAGUAGGUUUGUCUAAACUGUUUUUGCUUAAAAAAGAAUAUCGCUUAUUUUAAUAAGCAAAUCCAAUUAAACUAAUUAAUUAUUUAUCCAAACGCACCCGAAUCCAAUUAUUCAUUACCUUGGUUCUGGAGAAAACGGGAGGAAUAUCAGGGUUAUUGCGGAGCAGGGCGUGGAUCCUCCCCGGGGUGGCGAUGACAAGGUGCGGCCUCGCGGCGAGCUCCUUGGCCUGCCUGAGCAUGUCCAUGCCCCCGACGACCACCGUGAUGCGGAGGUGCACGGCGGAGCCGAGGGCGCGGAACUGCUCGGCGAGCUGGAAGGCGAGCUCGCGCGUGGGGGUCACGACGAGGGCGAAGACGCCGAACGGGUGCUCAGCGAGGCGGUGCAGGAUCGGGAGCGCGAAGGCCGCCGUCUUCCCGCUCCCGGUCUCAUCGACGCCAAGCACGUGCCGGCCCUCCAGCACGCGCGGGAUGCACCGCCGCUGCACGCCCCGCGGCCUCCGCAUCCCGAGCUCCCGGCACGUCUUCACCGCCCAUUCCGCGAGCCCAAGGUCGCCGAACGUCUCGGCGUCGGCAUCGGUGUCGGUGUCGGCGACGGUGGCGGUUUCGUCGGGGUGGUCUUCGAUGCGCUCGCCGUCGGAGGUGGGGUUUGCGGCGGUUGAAGGGGGUUUGCUAGUGGCGGUGGUGGUUACGGCGGGUGAAGAAGGGGUUUUGCGAGGGGUUUUGAAGAGAGGGAAAUUUGGGUCAUGUAAGAGUUGUGAUUGGUCCAUUGUGUGCUAAUUCUGAAAUCACUACGUUUCUCUCUUUUUUCUCUCUCAAUAAAUACCAUUCAAUAUCGAUUUGGAAUGUGAGAGAAGCUUUUGUAUUUUUUUUUUUUGGGGGGGGGAGAGGUUGGGCUCACACUCAAUGGUUGGGCUUUAUUUCGAGCUGUGCUCGCAUUCGGGCUUAAGGGUGUUACUAAUGGGUUAUUAUUAUUCACACUACCAAAAAUGUUAUUAUUCCCACUAACCACCUGGGUGGGUUUUUAUGUAUUUUCAAAAUUAUCCUUCCCACAUAGACAUUAUUCGGUUAUAUAAGUCUACAAUGAAAUCAUGCUUUCAUGACUUAUCUUUUUUCACCCCACAUAAGAAAAUCACUACAAUUAUUAAAAGCACUACAAAACUUCUAUCAAUCAAACUAACAUACUAGAGGAAAAGUAUACAAUUGUAAUGAUUUAAUGAUUAGUAGACAGUUAUCCUUUGAACCAAUUGAACCUUUUUUAAUAAUUGAAGCUCAACUAAACUUUUAGUUACAAUUAAGGGAUUAAUUAUAUAGUUAAACCCUCUUUUAUGCGUCAAAAAAAAUUUACAAAGAAAUUACUGAAGACUAGCCUUUAGCAAGAGAGUCUUGGGUGCACGAGAGGGGUUAUUUUAACCUUUUAAAUUUCAUAAAAGUUCAUAAGAAUAUUUUACAAAAUUUAGUAUGUAAAUUAAUUUUACCUAAAAAUAUAUUCUAGAUAAAGAGGCAAUAUUAUAAUAGAUAUUUUUUAUAAAAAAAAGCAAAAAAAAAAACAAGAAGAAGAAGAAGAAGAAUAUGUCCUUUGAAAGAGGGGAAAAAGAUAAUGGAAAUGGACUAAACUCACUAAAAGAAAUUAAAUUUACACAUUCAUAAUUGAUAUCUCACAAUUUAACCAAUUGACUUAAUUAAUUAUAAAAAAUUCACAAUUUAGCUAUUCAAAUAAGGCUAAAAUAGAGAAUAUCAAGAGUUUAAUUUGUCAGGUCAAUCAUGUAAAAAAAUAGCUUAAUUUAUAUAUAACUUAAUUAUUUGCCUGUGUUAAUAGUUACAUGAAAUACAAAACUUAUUAAACAAUUUCAUAUCAUAUCAUUAAAUAUAAAUGUAAAGUAUUUUACAUUUUAAAUAUUAAUUAAUAUUUAAUGUGGUUUAUAUUAAAUAAAAAAAAUUUACUCAACAAAUUGACACAUAUUAUAAAUAUUCAUGAACAAUUUUUAAACAAGUUAAAAAAAUUGAAUACGCAUAUUUUUCCUAGCAGCCUUAGUAUCCAAUUUUAUUUAUUUGUUGUUUCUAACAUGUAUCCUCCUAUAAGACAAACUUGUUUGAAACACGGAUAGGCAUUAGAAAAAGUAUCCCUUGAUGUCUUUCAAGAGAAAGGUAAGCCAUGUGAGUUCCACUUCAUUGUUUGCCAUGACCUUAUAUUCAACUUCAGUGUUGGAGCGAGAAAUUGUUGAUUGUUUCUUUGCACACCAUGAGAUAAGAUUUCUGCCAACAUAGAUACAAUAACCAGUGGUAGAGCGUCAAGUGGUAGGACAACCUGCCUAAUCUGCAUCAAAGAAGGUAAAAAGAUCAAGUGUGGUGUUUGAAGUAAAGUGGAGACCUUAAUCAAUAGUUCAUUUGACAUAUAGUAAGAUACAAUGAGCCAUUUGUAAAUGCAUAAUAGUAAGAGAAUGCAUAAAUUGAGACACAUAAUUAAUACUGUAUGAAAGAUCAGGAAGAGUAAGGAUGAGGUAUUGUAAAGCUCCAACAAGCCCAUGAAAGUAACUUGGAUCAUCAAGGGGAGUGCUAUUGGACGUCAUCUUAGUCUUAGCUUCAAGUGGUGUGCUCAUUGGCUUACAAUCAACCAUGUUAGCUCAUUCAAGGAUGGUAAGCACAUAGUGUAACUAGGAUGAAUGGAGGCCAUCAGUUGUCGAGAGUAUCUGAAUGCCACGGAAGUGAUGAAGAGGCCUCGAGUCCUUCAUGAAAAAUUUAGAUUGUAGAAGUUGAAUGAAUCCAAAAACUACAGUGGCAAUGGAUCCUGUGAGAAGUAAAGGGAGGGUCAAUGUUACAAAGUAGCAUGCUAGUGUGAUUUUCUUUUGGGUGAGAUCUCUAGCUUUCAACUAAUUACUACGAGAAACUUGGUGAAGCCUUAAAUUAAUUUUUCACAUUAUGAAUAUGUUUAUAUUUAUACAUAGAAACUUAAAAGUAUCGAUAGAAAAAUAAAAACAUUUUUACGCCUAAUGUGUAAUAUAUUAUAUUACGCGCAGCAGCGUAUACUAAGAGUAAUGAAAAAUGAAAGGAAACAAUGCACGAUGGGAUUUAACCCCACACUAUUAUCUUUCAACGCGUCAUCAUCAUACUAGUAAAAUACCAAAUUUAUUAUAGGCAAUUUACGUACAAUACUUUUCAAACAGUGAUAGCAUAUGGCUUUAUUUCAAACGACUAUGCAUGAGUUUGAACCAGUGGUUAUAUUUUCAACAACAGGGUAAUAAUGCAAGGUUGGGAACUUUGGAUUUGGGACCAGGUGUUCCCAUUAAGAACAGAGAAGAAAAAAUUAAAAAAAUAAUAAUAAAUAAAAACUGAGUUAUCCAAAAAUGGCUCAUUUCUAGAAAUAAUUUAUACAAUUUAUUUACAAACCAUUUUCUAAGCCUCGUGAUUGAUUUACCACGGGUAAUAAUCCAGGUGAAAAUUACACAAAACCUUGUGUAACGCUCAGAAUUACUCUGAAGAUAACCCACCAUUCUCACAAUGACUUUGUCUCUACUGAGUCAGUGAGUCGUCAUACUAUGACUUAUUGAACCAUGUCCUGUGCAAGUUGGCACCAGCCUCUGGGAACAAAACGGUCACUUGUUGAAACAAAAAUUAUUCCUUUGAUUGCUGUCUAUCAUGGUAGACAAGGCGUAACGGAUGUGGCCCAUCUGCAUAAUAAUGCUAUAGUACAUACAGAUGAGUAAAAGCAGCUUCACUUCAGAUACAUAGCGAGAACCCUGCACCAGAGAAAAUGAACACAACAAAUUACUUGAAAGAUUCAAAAAAGAAAAAAUAGAGAGAGGAUGCACACUCAUGAUUCCUUUACCCAAAAACCAAAAGAAGUGAUAACCUGUAAGCAACUUGAAAAAAGAGAAUGUUUCUUUCAUGAAAGCUUCUGAGGCUCAUUUUUUAAAAUACAUUGUCUCCUCGAUACUCCUAAUUACAACACUCAGACUGUCACCGCUUUCCAAUGCUUUAACAGCAGCUCGGUGUGCAGCUCUAUGCCACUUGAGCAAAUUAUAAGAUUGCAAAACUGCCCAUCUUGCUUGAUUGGACAUCUGCUCAAUGCAAGAAUGUCAAGGUUUAAAUUUUAGCAUCAGAGAUAAAAUAUAAACCAUCAAACCAGAUGCAUCAGUUGUGAAAAGACCUCAGCUGUAGACAAUGGAGGAUCAAGAAGAAGACAGAUGCCUCUAAAUAGAUUUUCAUCAUUUUCUCCACCCUCUGCCUCACCGUAAACAAGAGCUUCAGCUGCAAUGCCAGCAAAAAGCACCAUGCAGUACCUAAAGCAAUGGUUAGUGGUUCCUUAAAGCAUCAGUAUCACUUGUAAGGCUUAAAAAAACACAGGGGCACUGGGGAAGGGGACUCAGUCCAAAAAUAGACACAGCUACUUGAAGGCCAAAAGGCAAGUUUGUAAAUGACUACAGAAAUACUGAUCAGUGACCAGAAUUGAAACAGGAGUCAUUAAUUGACAACCAAAGAAACUAGAGCUAGAAAUGAAAUCAUUUAACUUCACUUUUACAGUUAUGCAGAUCCCUCCUUUUACUUUGGCUAAAGGAGAUAUCAAACUUUGAAAGCAAGGAUAAAUUGGAAAGUGUGCUUUCUGAAUUCAAUGGCAAAGAGAACUGUACUACUAAAGUGUCAAGAACAAUUGAACUCAAAUUUCUUGAUUAAUUUCCUCUAAACAUCUAUCACAAAGUAAAUCCACCCUAACCAGUGCAUCAUUCAAUUAUACAAGUAAUUCUUCUAUCAGUUGUUGAUUCAACAUAUAUCCCGGUUGGAAUUAGUGGUUAAAUGCCUAUUGGAAAUUAGAAUUGUACAAAUUUGUUUUCAGAUUAAUGUACAUAGCUAUUCUUGUACCUAGAAUACACCAUGAUGUACUAAGGAACUAGAAUCAUCCUUGCAAACACCAAAUAGUAAUCAUUGCCAGUGUGUAUAAAGACUACAUCAGCUCAAUAACUCUGCUAGAUAACCUCUAUUAGAAGCUAGUUAUGAUAGGUUAGUUAGUCAUUUAGAGGGUUCCUUAGUGAGUCAAGUAGGUCAUGAUGUAUGUAAAUAGGAAGAGGGGUUGAGAGGGAUUUUUUUUCAUGUGAUUUGAGAGGGAAUUUAUGUUGGUGUGGGAAAGUGCAGCCACUCAAAGCCCUGGGAAUCAUUUGUACUCUUUUCAGUUAAUUGAAGCUUUUCUUUCUAUAAUUUGAGUCAGUUUCUAUCAAUUGGUAUUAUCAGAGCUCCAAUGUUAGAGCCACGGGGAACUGUUCGUGAAAUGAUUCCUGGAUUCAAUGGAAAGGAGGGCUAUUGGUGGUUGGUCAAUGCAGAGCAGUAUUUUGAGAACAGAUUACCAGAAGAGAUGGAACUAUCAUUGGUUUGUGCAUUUGCAAUAAGAGGAAAAGCUCUCAAAUGGUGGGUUUCCUGGAAGGAAAGCAAUCAUAAUGCAACAAGGUGGACCUUUGAGAAGGCUGUGCUUAAGCAAAUCCAACCAGAACUUGGACAUUUCAGUCGACCCACCACCACCAACGGUUUAAUUCUUGGACAUUUCAGUUGACCCACCACCACCAAAGGAACCACCUGACUUGGAUUCAGACACGAGAGCCAAUGGGUCAUUAAUGUGAUGAAGCUUGGGGUCUUACAUAUGCUGACCAAGCACCCACUGCCGGAACUGUCAAACUUUGGUGCUCAUAUGGUGGCUGAUAUAAUUUUGGAGACAGAUGAGGAUGAAAGUGGGUGUUUUUCCUGAGCUGAUGGAGACUAGGGCAAAAUUGGAAUUAUAAACAAGGUCAAUUGUUUUACCUAAUGGACCAGGCCCCAACCAUUGAAGUUGGUUCUCUCCAAACACUCAUGGACCAAACUCAACAAAGUGAGGCAAAGAAAUGGGCUUUAGUGAUGAAGGAUGAGAAAAUGAAGUAGACAGUUAAAGAAAAAUAUGGUGUUAACUUUGUUUUUUUGAAAUAUCAACUCAAUAAAAAAGAAAACAAACUAAACACAUCUUACAUUCUCUUGCUACAUAUUUUCCUUGAAUAAAAGUAACACUAGGGCGGAAAAAAAGUUGCAUCCAAUACAAUCAUGCUGAUAAGGGUCCAUAAAUCAUGACUAAAUCAUAUGGUAUGGGAAUGUAGAGAGGAGUUUCUCUUAUCUGUGUUCAAUAAGCCCUAAGUAUAUGGAAAUGAUGCUGUUGUCACAAAGUUGUUUUGUGGUGCUACAAAAUAUGCAAACACUUUAAAAUGUGCCCUGGUGUUGGAGUUGGACCUAGAAAGGCCAAAGGAAUGGUUUUUUUAGGAUGGGAAGUGGUGUCAAGGGAUGGUGGUUCUAAAUUAGCCAUGUGGAUGUAAAUUUGUUGGAAUUAGUAGUUAAAUGACUAUUGGAAAUUUGGAAUUUGUAGCAAUUAAUUUUCAGAGUCACGUACAUAGCUAUUCUUGUACCUAGAAUAUACCAUUACCAUGCAUGUACUUAGGAACUAGAAUCAUACUUGUAAACACAAAAUUUGCCAUAGAAAUAAAUACUAGACCACCCGAGUAACUCACUUGAGCUAUUCAGAAAAUUCAUCUUCAUAAUCCCUAAAACUUUCUAAUGUAUCACUUUAACUGUUACUAUAACUAUAAUGUUAUACACACCUGUCAAAAGCUGUACCAUCAAGUCGGCCUUCAGCAAGGUCAUUGGCAACUUUUUCGUCCCAAAACUGAGUCCCUGCCUAAAAAAUACAAAUUUACUGCAAGUAAAAUUAUGUUAAAUACUUAAAGGAAAAAAUUAAAGAUUAAGGAUUUCCUAUUUACUGCAAGUAAAUAAGGAAGCAUACUGUGCAAAUAAAGAUUAAAGUAGAAAAACAGAAAAUAAAAAUCUAGACUUAAUAAUUGUUAAGUAUAAAAGUGUAAACAAGUACAAGUAAUACAUAAUUGAUGACACUGCAGCUUGAUCACUGAAGUCACCUAUGAAUUAAUCAAAUCUUUCGGCGGAGUCAAUUUUCAACAAUCAACAGAAGAUAUACUAAUAUUGGUAUUAAUGAAUAUGAAUAUAGUAUCUUAUAAUGUCAGAGGGCUUAGGAGAGGGGUCAAAUGGGGGGCUAUAAGGAGACUAGUCAGGAAUCAAAAAGUAGAUAUGAUCUGUAUACAAGAAACUAAGAGGGAGUAAAUUGAUAAGGCCACAUGUCAUGCAUUAUGGGGGGAUUCAGAUAUUGGCUGGGAAUUUCAACCAGCAAUAAAUACAGCUGGUGGCUUACUUUGUGUUUGGAGUCAGUAGGCAUUCAAACUGGAAAGAAAGGAAGUGGGCAGUGGAUUUAUCCUAUUGGAAGGAGUCUGGCUAAAAGAAAACCAGAAAACAAGUGUAGUCAAUAUAUAUUCUCCGUGUGACAGCCAACAGAAGCGGAUACAGUGGGAUUCUCUUAAGCAACUGAGACAACUAGAUCCCGAAGGUCUAUGGUGCUUCAUGGGAGAUUUCAACAGUAUUAGGCAUCAUUCUGAAAGGGAUGAUGUGUCUUACAGGGGAGUGGAAGCUACCAACAUCAAUGAUUUCAAUCAGUGGAUAGCUGAUGUUGAAUUGGAAGAAGUACCUUCAGUGGGAAAAAAAUUCACGUGGUUCAAGCCAAAUGGGGCCACAAUGAGUCGACUGGACAGAUUCCUAGUAUCCCUCAAUUGGAUUCAAAAAUGGCCAACCUGCACCAUGUUCACCUUAGAUAGAAAUUUUUCUGAUCAUUGCCCAAUCAUGCUCAGGGCUAAAGUCAUUGACUGGGGGCCAAAACCUUUUAGGGUUUUCGAUUGUUGGCUGAAGGAUAAGAGUUUUAUAAAGGCAGUCACAGAAUGUUGGACCAGCAAUCAACCAAGGGGCUGGGGGGGUUUCACUCUCAAGGUAAAAAUAAAGAAACUUAAGGAGGCCUUGAAGGUGUGGAAUAGGGAUCUGAAUGGUGACUCUCUCAAGAAGGUACAGCAAGUUGAGGCACAAUUGAACAGGCUGGAAGAAGAAAGUAUCAGCAGACAGUUGACACCUCAAGAGAUGAAUACUCGUAAAAUGCUUCAGGAGGAAUUAUGGGCAGCAGCACUUUCCCAUGAGUCACUGAUGAGACAAAAGGCCAGAGUAAGAUGGAUCAAAGAAGGGGAUUGUAAUUCACGGUACUUUCAUUUACUAACGAACUCAAGACGUACAAAUAAUGCAGUCAAAGGAGUACUAGUAGAUGGAUCUUGGGUAGAUGAUCCUGCAAUAGUGAAAGAGGAGAUCCGGAGUUUCUUUAAUAAAAAUUUCAGCGAACCGGACCAAUGCAGACCAGUUCUUAAUGGAGUGAGAUUCAAGAGUAUUGAUCAGAUACAAAAUGAUUUGCUGGUGGGACCAUUUAAUGCGGAUGAAAUAAGGGCGGCAGUUUGGGAUUGUGGAAGUGAAAAGAGUCUUGGGCCGGAUGGACUAAACUUCAAAUUCAUAAAACAAUUCUGGGAGGUACUCAAGCCAGAUUUCAGUCGGUUCAUUCAUGAAUUCCAUGCAAAUGUGGUGUUCCCUAGGGGCAGCAAUGCUUCCUUCAUCACUUUGAUCCCAAAAGUGAAGGACCCACAAAAUCUUAAUGAAUAUAGGCCUAUAUCACUAAUAGGCUGUAUUUACAAGAUUGUGGCAAAACUCCUUGCCAAUAGACUCAAGAAGGUGAUGUCACAUAUAAUAGAUGAGAAACAAUCUGCAUUUAUUAGAGGAAGACAGCUUAUACACAGUGUGCUGAUAGUUAAUGAGGCACUUGAGGAAGCAAAGAGGUGCCACAAGCCAUGUUUGGUGUUUAAAGUGGAUUAUGAAAGAGCAUAUGAUUCAGUCUCUUGGGGCUUUCUUUCCUACAUGAUGAGGAGGCUAGGAUUCUGCUCUAAGUGGAUUAGUUGGAUAGAGGGAUGUCUCCGGUCAGCCACAAUUUCUGUUUUGGUCAACGGGAGUCCUACAAAAGAAUUCACACCACAUAGAGGCCUAAGACAAGGUGACCCACUAGCACCUCUCCUCUUUAACAUUGUUGCUGAAGGUUUAACUGGUCUCAUGAGAGAAGCAUUGGAUAAGAGCUUUUACAGUAGCCUCUUGGUGGGGGAAGACAAUAUACCAGUUAACAUCCUCCAAUAUGCAGAUGACACCAUUUUCUUUGGCGAUGCCUCAAUGCAGAAUGUGAAGACAAUCAAAUCCAUUCUGAGAAGCUUUGAGCUUGUAUCUGGGCUAAAGAUAAAUUUUGCGAAGAGUAGUUUUGGGGUAGUAGGGAAGUCUGAGCAGUGGCAGGCUGAGGCGGCACGAUACCUGAAUUGUAGAAUACUGUCCUUUCCUUUUUCCUACUUGGGUAUCCCCAUUGGGGACAAUCCAAGGCGUAGUCGGUUAUGGGACCCUAUAAUCAGAAAAUGUGAGAGAAGAUUAGCUACAUGGAAACACAGACACAUAUCCUUUGGGGGGAGAGUGACACUCAUUAAUGCAGCCCUAACAGCGAUUCCUAUUUAUUUCUUUUCCUUUUUCAGGGUUCCGUCAAAAAUUAUAGCUAGAUUGGAGGCAAUUCAGCGACAAUUCUUAUGGGGAGGAGGGAUGGAGCAGAGAAAGAUAGCUUGGGUUAAAUGGAGGACAGUCUGCCAACCAAAGGAUAAAGGGGGUCUUGGUAUUAAAGAUCUGAGGACAUUUAAUUCAGCUUUGUUGGGUAAAUGGCACUGGGAUUUAUUUCAUAAGCAAGAGGAGCAAUGGGCAAAAAUACUGUUGUCAAAAUAUGGAGGAUGGAGGGCGUUGGAGGAGGGCACAAGAGGAAGGAAUGACUCCAUUUGGUGGAAGGACUUGGUGAUAAAUCUGCAACAGCAACAGAAUUUGGUACUUAAAAAGGAAACUGAGUGGAAGGUGGGGGGUGGGGAUAAGUUCAGAUUUUGGGAGGACCCUUGGACACACAAUGCUGUACCACUAAUGGACAAAUAUCCAAGGCUGUAGAGGAUAUCAUCCCAACAGAAACAAAUCAUCAGCCAUACGGGGACCAACAACAACAAUGAAUGGGAAUGGAAUUUAGUUUGGAGGAGGGCACUUUUUGAUUGUGAAGUACAAAUGGCAGACAAUUUUAUUGAGGAAUUAUCACACCAGCAGAUACAGCCAAAUGUGGAGGACAAAUGGAGCUGGAAGAUAAAUCAAAGUGGAUAUUACUCAACAAAAAGUGGUUAUGAUUUGAUAUGGAGAGAACAUAUGGCAGCUGAGCAGAAUUCAGACUUUGUGGACUUAUGGAAGCUUAAAAUUCCAGCUAAAGCACAGGUGUUUGCUUGGAGAUGUAUAAGGGACAGACUUCCUACAAAGAUGAAUCUAACAAGGCGACAAGUGGUGGUCAAUGACUUGAUGUGCCCAUUAUGUGGAGAGGUAGAGGAGGAGGCUGCUCACUUAUUCUUCAACUGCCGCAAUAUCCUACCCCUAUGGUGGGAGUCUUUAUCUUGGAUGGGCUUAACAACAGCAGUACCUCAAAGUCCUAGGGAUCAUUACUUGCAGCACGUGCCCGACUUUGCAGACGGAAAGAAACUUAUAAGUUGGAAAUGUUGGUGGAUCGCAAUGACAUGGACAACUUGGAAGCUUAGAAACAGAAUAGUAUUCCAAAAUGCCAUUUUUGAUGGAAGAUGCAAUUCUAACUCUUUGGACAUGGCUUAAAACCAUGGACAAGGAUUUUGCAAUUCACUUCAAUCAAUGGUCUUCUAACCUCAAGGAAGCGUUUAGGAAUUAGGUGGGAGGAAAGAUAAUGAAUUUAUGUAAUAAUUCCACGAGUUUGCAGUUUGGUUAUGUACUAGCAAUCAGCUGCACAAUGUGGAAUCAUUUGUAUCCUUAGUACAUCUGGUACUUCUAAUAUAUAAUAUAUCUAUUUUUGCUGAGCAAAAAAAAAAAAUGGAUAAUAUUCAGUCAUAUUCAGCACACAAACAAUUAUACUCUGCAGUGAAGGAUUAAAAGGAAAAAGAAACUGUCUUCCCCAUUGUUCUUUCUCAAUAGUUAAAUUCGCUUUUGUUAGUCUUCAUUUAAUGUACUGAUGCAGUGCUGGACAACAGAGACAUUUUAUAGGAAAAUCUUCAAAAUAUUGUGCCAUGAAAGAACAAGUAGAAGUAUUGUUCUCCCUCUAGGGAUGAUUGGGUUGGUCAAGUUCAAUGGCCUUCACUUCACCUAAGUGAGCUCUAAGAAAAAGACCCCCAAUUUAGACCUACCUAUAUUGCUGUCAGUUAAUAUAAUGUGUGAAUAACUGCCCAAUGUGCUAGAUGAUGAAGAAUGAACAGAACAGUAUGAGAGACAGAGAGAGAAGGAAGAGAAAGGAAGGGGGAGGAGGGCAGUGUACAGAGAACAGAGAUAAUGACUCAAUUAUAAUAUACCAAGUAUCUCACUCAAAAAUAACAAAUGUAAAAUAGUCAAAUAGAAAUAACAUAUUUGGAGACUACAAAUAGGAACCAUCAGAACCAAUAGUGUCAUAUCAUGAAUACCUGUCCUUGGAUGCCCAUUUGCAUUGCAACUAUUGGGUCUAAAAUCACCCCCCGAAUUGGGCAACCCAUAAGGUAAGCUGAAAUGUCAUAAGGAUGGACCUUGUAAGAUGUAAUAUAUAUGGCAGCACAAAGAGAUCGGCAAUCAAUUAAUCAAACAUGAUCCAAAAUGUAUAUCCCCCAUACGUGACCAUCAAAAUCCAUUAAAAUAAACAACAGUAUUUAACCUGUUAGUAGAUGUCCAGCUUCAUGAACAAGAAUCCGACGCCUAUAUGGUGGCCAGUAACUUGAGAUUUGAGCUAAGCAGGUACCACCCAGAAGUAUAGCAUCUGCAGCAGCUAGACCUAAUAUCACUGCAAGGUUGGGCCUGAGGUCAAUUCCUUGUGAUAUAAGAAAGGACACCCCACCAAGAAAAGCAACCAAAACAAUGCUUGAACCAUCUGAAAGACCCCACUUCUUAGGAGCAAGUUUAGUCACUGCACAGAAGGAAGGAAAAAUUAUAUAGUACAACUAUUUUUCAGCUACAUAGAAUUGUAUCAAAUGUUAUUCAUUCUGACAUAACAUGACUGAACUGGCACUUUUAGCAAUUUACAGCUAGGGGGGAAAUAUUGUGCAGAAAUUCAUAUUCAGACCUUCCAAACCAGUAGAGGAGCUCAAGACAUCUGGUGUCACUUUCCUCGGUCCCUCCAAAACUGCAACAAGAUGGACACCAGAAAAAGGGGGAGAAAAGAUAAAGGAAAAAAAUACCAGUUAGCGCAUGAAAAAGCUUCACCAGAAUGAUUAUAGGAAACAAAUAAUAGACAAGGAAAAAGUCCAUACUAAAUCACUAAAAAGUAUCAAUUUGGUAAAAUUAUUAUAAAAAAAAAAAAAAAACAACAACACACACAUUUAGGCAUUUAGCCAGAAAUGAUAGCUUUGAUUUACAGAUAGAAACACAAAACUCAAUCUUAUGACUUUCAUCACAUGCUAAGAAAAAAAUCAUUAAUUUCUCAGAAUACAUCAUCUGUGUGAAUGACAGCAGACAGCUACAUUACUAAAUACAAGUCCACAGAUCCCAGAAACUCCAACAAAAGCACAACUGCUGAAGGAAAAUACACAUAUAUGGUACUUUGAACCAGCAUUAUCAAAUAGCAGCCACGGCAGCGCCAUGGCAUUACAGAAUGGUGGAAUCUGUACAAAAACACCAUGAAAGGAGAAUGGUGUGACGUUGUUAGUGUGGAGGCUUAUGGAAGACACAAUACAUGUGAUGUCCAUGGUGAAUUGUGAUAGUUUCUACUGUCUAGUUUCAAGAGAACUUAUAAUAUUAUCCCUAAGUUUGUGAAUUAUGAAACUUUCAGAGAAUUGUAUAUGUUUCUAGUUUAUUGUUCUUUAUAUAUGUAGCUGCCAUGCUUCCGCCAAAGUCCACAAUGUCAUCUGCCAUAAUUUUACGGAAGAAUUUUGGCUUGCCUCCAUGAGCCACAAUCCCCCCACAAAUAAUAUUCCCUCUGGUCCUUAGUAUAAGGCAUAGUUUAGAAGGAAUUGGUGAUCCUUUUUAUAAGGCAUUUUAGAAUUUCUAUGAAGUAUAUUUAAUCUUUUUUUCCAUUAGUUGUCCUUAUUAAAUAUUUUAAGUAUUUGUGUUUUUUUAUUGAUAGUGGUGCACAAUACUCUUGGACUUGAUGUUUUCACAUCCCCCAUAACAAGUUAAUAAUUAUUAAUAAGGGCAUAAUUAAUAUAUUAGUAACAUUUUUUAAAAAAAUUAAUAAAAUAAACUAAAUUAAUUACUUUUAAUGGUAUGUGUGAUUGAUGUCCAAAGUGUCUUAUAAUAAUGACCAAAGGGAGUAAUACUGUAAAUGAAAAAUUGAAAUCGGACAGUACAUGAUGGCAACAAUACAGUAGGAGUAAAAAUUGCAACAAUAGCCCUAAUAGGCACUCACAUCACAUGUAUCCAAAACAAUACUAUGUCUUGUACUUUUAAAAUUUCACUUAAUAUUGUCCAGGAUCACCUCCCCUGAAAGCUCAAGGUCUAAGGAGUUAAAGUGUUAAACAAAGGCUCGUGAUUGUUUAUAUCUGACAGGUCACUUUACCUUGUACUGAAAUUCAAUACAAGGAAUCAAGAAAACUACUUGAUCAUGGAGACGCUGAUAUGAUAUUAUGAUGUUAGGUUGUUAGCUGAUAUGUUAUUAUUGCUCUAUCUAACACACAACUCUACCUUGUGCCGAAAUUCAAUAAGGAGGCAGCAAGGAAACUACUUGAUCACAGAGGCCCUGAUAUAAUACUUAGAAUGAACUCUCCUCCUCAGUUAAAGAUCUGUUAGGUAAAACUGGUGAUUGGUUUUAUAACUAACAAAACUCUGAUUGAAAUUAUGAUCGAAAUCCAAUGUUAGCACAGCUAAUGUAUUGCCUCCUUUCUAUACAAAAGGGUACAAAAAUGGCUUACACUAUGUGCCUAUCUAUUUUGAGCAGAACAAAUUAUGGGGAGAAAAAAAAACUAUUUCUAUUAAGACAAAUUUCAGUCACACCCCUUAAGAUUUAGCAACAUUACCCUCAAUACGCUAUUUUUUUUUUCUUAAUCUUACACAGAUUUUCCUUAAUUUAUAUGAUAGCAUGUACCCUUCCUAUUAAUGUAAACCUCUGAAUCUCUUAUGGUGCUACAUGAAUUAAAAGACAUAUAUUACACCGACUCCCCUUUUUAUUUGUUAUCCAAGAAACACAUUACACCAUGUACCCUUACAUGGAGUUGUUGUAAAUGUUAAACCUUGUGGAGUGUCAGUGUUAGUGUAAUUUGGUUAACAAUUUUAAUUAUAACACAAUAUACUACUAUUAUUACUAAAAUUACCAUAAAUUAAGAAGGAGAAAAAGAUGAAUCAAACUCACCAAUGUUUCUGCAUUUACCGAAAUUGGGCAAGAAACCCCUAUCUCUGAGGAACCUGUAAGCGUUAGCGACAAGUUUCAUGUCAUCAGCAUUCAAACACGUGUCCAGAACCUCCCAGUCCCUCUGCGGCCCGAACCGCUCCAACUCGCCGAACCGGAGCCGAGUCGACUCGCUCGACGGAGAACCGCCGUUUACGAGCGGCUGUUCCGAUUCGAGGGACUUGAGGAACCGCAGGGCUCCGGCGAGGUCCUUCCGCUUCACCGCCUCCUCGUACUCCCGCCAUUCGCGGAAGGCUCUUCUGCGUACUCGAGUCGCGGCGGGGAAAGUACGGGAAAAUCCGAGGGAAAACGGAGGGGGGGCGAGAAAGUGAGGAGAAAUUUGGAGGUUUGGGAAAACGUUGGGAAGUGCCAUGAAACAAUGAAGCAGUGAAUAGCUGUGUGUGUAUUUAGUUUGUGAACCGUUCAAUGAAGAUACAACGGAUCGACGUUAUAAGUUCUUUUUUGGUUGAUUUGGUAGAUGAAUGCUACAAGGGAGAACAUACUUUAUAAUGAGGUAAAUCACCAAUUUUGUCUCUUUAUUUGGUCCAUAAGUGUGUAAAUAUAUUGAUAAUCAUACCGUUGAGUGAAAUUUGUUUCCAUUAACUUUUUUACAACAUGACAUGUGAAAGUGAGGAAGUAAUUUUCACAUCCAAUAUUGUGUAGAUCAAAUUGUUAGUUUUAUCUUAGCACACAAUAUUACAUGUGUCUUCUAUACAAGAAUUCCUUCUUUAAUUUCCUUUAUAAUCCUCUUUUUAUAAUUCUCUUUUUGGCGUCCUGUCGUGUGUCUAUAUUGAAAACAAUUUCUAGCGGUAGCACUUUUUUUUCCUUGUUUCUUCUCCUUCUUCAUCCUCUUCUUUGUGGCACCAUCGACAUCCUUCACAUUCUAUUGAAACUCUUGUGAUACCAUUCACAUUAUAUUAGUUUGUUCAUAAUUGAUUAUAUCAUAUAUUGGCUUGUUUAUGGAAACCAUGAACAAUAUGAACAAUUGCUAUCCUUUGAAAUUUCAAAAUCGAAAACCAAAAUGCCUUAUUAAGGAUUCAAAAAUCCUUUGUGGUGGCUUGCGAUGGUGGGAGAAGGAGAAGAAAGGAUAAAACAAGAAACACAUUGUUCGGUUGUCUAUGCCGACGUUUAUCGUUGUGGUGUUGAUGAUGAUGUCAGAGGCGGUAAUUCACAACAAGAUGAUGUAUCAGAGUGUUUGGUAGGUCUGAACGACCACUUUUCUCAUCUAUCUUGGAUUUUGAUUAAUAACAAUAAGUAUAAAUUACUGAUGUUCUAAUGAGUUUUUGACAAGUGAAUAGGAUCAAGUGUUAAAGGACUUAACAAUAUUUUGUAUCGUCCUUACUCUAGAAAGAAAUUGCUCGAUUUAGUAUUUAUCCAAUGUCCAACGCGCUAAAAUCAAAAGGCGUGCACUCAAUAUGGUAAUCAAUGUUAUACAUUGUGUUUUGGUUAUCUUUCGCGUUCAGCUAGUAAGAAACUCACACCUUUUAAAAUGAUCAACAUUGAGCAAAAAGUUUGUAAUAACCAGAAAAAGGGAGUACACGUGUUAUAUCUUAUACAAAUUCAUUUUGUCUCUUUUUAUUUUAAAUUGCUAACAUUUGAAUUUAAGGAAAUGACAUAAUAGAAGAAAAUGGAAGGUAUUCACAGAAUAUUCCUUUAAAGGUUGCUUUCGACGAGGGCAAGGAGCACAUAGUGUUGUCUGUACUAUCGUUCAAUUCCUCGCAAAUCAAAGCAUGUCAUGUAACCUUAUCAUCUAGUGUGAGACAAUGGUCUUUUCAAGGAAUCGAUGUUGAUCGCGUAACGAAUCUUUCACUAAAGUCUAUAAAAGACAAUCUCUACCCAAAAAGCAAAAAGGAAGAAAAAACUGACGAGAAAGCACAAAUAUAUCUAAAGCAAAACUCUGUUGAAAUUGAUGGACAAUUGAUAUAAAUUUUUCACUAGUUUAUUCUUUGCUAAGCAAAUUUAUCUUGUAUUUGAGAUUUAUUGUUUAUUUACUCUUUGAGUGUUAUUGAAUACUUGUAUUUAUUCAAACUACUAUUUGUAAAAGUCAUGAGUGACUUAGUGUUAAAUAAUACUUAGUUUCUUAGAUUUAGAGGGAGUCUAAGAAAGUGACAGAAGUGAUAUUAAGAAUAGUAAAGCCAGGAGUGGUAGGUCAAAAUACUUGUUUUGUAAUCAAGUUUUGAUUAGUGGAACAUUUUACUAUUGAGUAAAAUAAAACUGGACGUCACUCAGGUUGAGUGAACCAAUAUAAAUCAAGUGUUUUUACUUUUCUCGAUAAUGGUUUAUUAAGUGUUCUAUUAGCAUUCUCUAUCACUUCCUAAUUACCAAGUAUUUAUUUGAAAUACUAUUUUAAGGACUCUCUUUUAUUAUGUCACUGGACGAUCAAGCCUGUCUUUAUUAAAACUUGUAUUCACUUCAAUAAACAACUUGCCAAACAUAUACAUUUCUAUCUAUAUCAACAUUAAAAGUUGUGAAUUUUUUUUUCUUUGAUAUAAACAUUAUUCAACUCCCCCCCCCCCCACCCCUUUAGUGUGUUUGUUGUUAUUUCGGUGUCGCUUGGAAGUUUUGCUCAUAGCCUUUGAUGGUGAAGAAAAGAAGGAGAUAGGAAACAGGUGAAAGAAGAGAAGAAGUUUUCACUAUCAUUUUAGUCCAAAAAAUUAUGCGAUGAUGUGGAACGUCUCCUACACUGUGGAUUUGACACAUCAACAAGGACAUGCCACGUAUGCACUCAACAUUAACAGAAACGAAAGAGACUUUAUGGUAGGACUAAAUUGUCAUAUAUUUACAAAAUUAUAGACUAAAUUGACAGUGAAUGUAAAAUACAAAAAUUGAUCAUUUACCUGAUUUGUUGUGUCUGGACGACCACUUUUCACAUCUAUCUUGGAUUUUGAUGCUUAACAAUAAGUAUAAACUAUUGAUGUUUUAAUGAGUUUACAACAAGUACGCAAGAUCAACCUUAUAAAGGACUUAUCUAUAAUCUACAUGUAUCGUCCACACUCAAGAGGUUAAUGCUUUGUUAAAUAUUAACUGGUGUCUAACACGCUAAAACCAAAAGCGUCCAUUCGUGACAACAAACAGUGUUAUACAUUGUGUACUAUUACCACAUGCGUCCAAUCAGUAUGAGACUCAUACUAGUUCAAAAUGAUCAACACAGUUUGAAAAAGCUAUGAUAGCCGAAAAGGAAAGUGCACAUAUUCUCUCUCUUGGAUUUUAAGUUUGUCUCUCUUUAUUUGAAUUGUUAACAUUUGAAUGUAAGGCAAUGAAAAAAUAGAAGAAAAUAGAAGGUCUACACAGAAUAUUCCUCAUGGUUGAUUUCACCAAGUACAAGAAGCACAUGCAGUUAUUUGUACUAUUGCUCAUUUUCUCGUGAAUCAGAGCAUGUCGCAUAGUCUUAUCUCCCAAUGUGAAAAAAUAGUCUUUUCAAGGAAUCGACACUAAUCUCAUAAUGGGUUUUUCACUGAAGUCUAUAAAAGGCAGUCUCUAGGCCAAAAAAUGACAAAAUCAUUACGAAAAAAUGAAAAUAUCUUUGGAACAAAACUUUGUUGAAAUCACUAGACGACAAUUUAAGUUUUCAUUUGUUUAUCCUUCGCUAAUUAAAGUUAUCUUGUAUUUUAGUUUUACUGUAUAUUCACUCAUUGAGUAUUAUUGAAUACUUGUACUCAUUCAAACUACUGUUUUUGAAAGAUAGGAGUGACUUAAUGUUAAACAAUACUUGAGUUUCUUAGAUUCAGGGGAAGUCUAAGAAAGUGUUAGAAGUGGUAUUAAGAAUAUUUGUAUAGCCAAGAGUGGUAGGUCAGAAUACUUGUUUUGUAAUCAAGCUUUGAUUUGUGGAACUCUUUACUAUUCUAUAAAAGAGAACUGGACAUAAAACAGGUUGAGUGAAUAAGUAUAAACCAAGUGUUUCUACUUCUCUCCUUGACAGUUUAUGAAGCAUUCUCUUAACACUUUUUGUCAUUCUUUUCAUAUCAAGUAUUUGCUUGAAAAAUUGUUUUAAAAACUCUAUCUUAUUCAAUCACUACACGAUCAAGCUUGACCUUAUUAAAACACUUUCUUUUCAGUGGACAACUCAUCAUACAUAUACAUAUUUGUCUAUAUUUGUGUUAAAAGUUUUAAAAAGUUAUUAUCUUUUAUUAACACACUAUUCAACUCUCCUUCUAGUGUGAUUGUAGUUAUUUCACUUUUUAGUUAUGUUGCAUAACUAGUCUAAUAUAAGAAUUUAAGAAUAACAUAUUUUUAAACUCUAAAAGAACAUGUAUUUUUAUUUUAUUUUUAAAUAUAGUGUAACAUAAUUUUAAUAAAUAACCAACAACAAUUAACACAUGUGAUAGUGAUUUGCGUCUCUUAAUCAAGUGAUUUAGAGUUUAAAUCUUAAUGGGUCAAUACCCAUAUUGUGUGUGCUCAUGAUCUCGACAAAAAAUUGUUAUUGCUCCUAGUGAAAACAACUUUAUAUCAAUAUUAUGGUCGACAAAAAUAUUAAAUUUAUGGAUAAUUAUGUGAUAUAUAUUUAAUUAUUAGUGCAAUAAUUUGUAUCAUAUGCCAUAAUUAAGUUUAUAAUUUUUAAUUUUUUAUAUUUUACAAUUUUUAAUAUUUUUUAGUUUGACAUGUAUGUUAAUACAUAUUUAUAAAAUAUAUAUUAAGAGAUAUGUAUGUAAAUAUUUAUAAAAAUAUCUAUAAAUAAUGAUUUUAUUUUAUAUUUAUAAGUAUUUUAUAUCGCUUUAGUUUGUAUAAAUAUGUCUUUUAAGAAUAUUAAUUUUAUAAACAUAUUUACAUGAUUAAAAUAGUUUUCAGAUUAUGCUUUAUUUUAGUAGUUGUCAAAUUAAAUACAAAAUUAAAGUCAUAAAAUUAAAAAUCCAAAAUUGAACCAAACAAAAUUACAAACGAGUAGUUUCAAUUUUGUUAGAUUUGAUAUUGCAUUCAAAUCAACCAAAAUAAUUCGUACAUUGAAUUUAAGAUAAAUUACUAAUUUGAUUUUUUUGGUUUUCUAAAUUGUUUCAAUGUUGCCCUUUCUAUCAAAUUACGCUAAAAGUGUUAAUUCAUAAGAUGAAUCAAAAUCCUCAAUAAUUUUGAUUAUAUGUAAAUAAUUAUAAAGUUUAAAAAUUAUGUCUUAUAUGCCAUCUGACAAAUGCAUUGUAUCUACAUCUGAUUAAUCAAACAAAAGCAUACAUAUGCUAAGCUUUAUUAAGCAUUAAAGAUUUCAUUAAUGCUCUAUAUAUGAGAUUUGUUUUGCAAAGAAUGUUUGAAACAUUAUUCUUAGGAUUUGUCGAAGGCUAGCAAAGUAGUUGAAUCAUCAAAGACCCAAAAAACAAUAUUUUUUUUUAUUCUUAAAAGACUUGUUACACCUGUUGUGGACAAUACCUUUUUUGAGCAAAAGUUUUUGUCUUUGUUGAAAUGUGGAUCAAGAAAGAUAAAAAGAAGUAGUAUUUCACAUGGAUUGGACAUACAUUUAAUGCACCAACGAACACCUCUUCAAAUGCAAGUUCAAUUAUGAAAAGAAAUAAAGAAUAUCGUUUAGAGACAACGAACAAUUUUUGAAGAAUGGUUAUAGAUACAAGAAGCUUUGAAGACAUGAAAAAAGGAACCUAAGAGCUUAUAUUUGAAAUCUGUUAAGUUGUAAAGCUCGCAAAAUACCUUGUAAAUCUUGAGAGAAAAGAUUAAAUGCUUAAUUUGUAUGUGUAUAAGACGUUAAGACUAGUUAAUGGGCAAACCAACUUCAACAAAUCAUCCAUUAGUAGCUUAGUAGAAUAAAGAAUACUAGGGUUGUUUUAAGCUUAAGGAUAAGUUUUGUUAUAAGAGUUAGAAGUGACCGUGAAGAAUAUUUGUAAUUAUGUUGAAGUUGGUGAAACUUGACAAAUUACUAAGAACCAGAUGUAAUUUCAAUGGUAGAGAUGAACAUUUUUGUGUCUGAUUUGUUGUAUCUCUUUCGGUUUAAAUGAUAGAGGGUUUUAAUUUGAUUUUAUUUUCUAAAAGUGUUUUUACAAAAUCUGUUGGAAAUUGUCUAAUCGAAUUUGUUUGUGAAAAUCUCAUUAUUUAUCUUUUAGCCAUAUCAGACGAUAAUCUCAUUUAUGAAAAAGGCUUAUGAAAAUUUUUAAAAUCACAAUUCAAUCAUACUUCUUGUGAUAUUUGCCUUUAAACAAAGUGUAUAUAUGACACAAGUUGAUGAUGGGUCAAAUGAAAUUUGGUUUUGUGUUUUGUGACCAUUAUGGCUAGUGGAUCUUUCUUUUCUUUCAUUUUAAAGGUCAAAUUAGAGUUUCAUGUGCUCUCUGUCAUGAAUAAUGUCUAAGUUUCAAACAUUUUCUUAUAGUUGCAUCAAAAUUUGUCAAUGAUUAAUAAUUUAGUCAUAAAUUUGUUUUUCUCUUCUAGUGGUGGAACUCAAAGAUGGUAUACUACAUGCCAAUGCGAGGGUAUGAAAAUUUUGCAAACAACUUGCAUUCUUAUGGAUGUCCUAACGACAAAGUCAUUUCUUUUUCAUCUUUUGAUGUUUAAUUUUCCAUACAUAAUGCAUAUUUUUUUCCUUUAUGAAAAACAUAGUGGUAAUGAUGAAGAGUUUGAAUGCAAUUUGUUUCAAUGGUUUUCAUAUGAAAUAACAUGAAAAAAAUGUCAUCAUAGUGAGACAAAAAAAGAAAGAUUAACAAUCUUUAAUGUUCAUGAAAUUUACCAAACAAAUGGCAAGAGUUGUUCAUAAUCACUGACUCUAAUUUUUUUCUUAUGAAUGCUAUUUUUAUCACAUUGUUAUGCUAUGUAGGAGGUAGAGAUUGAAGAAAUAUACAUUUAAAGUAGGCAUUCUCAAUUAUUGAAAUUGUAGCUUUGAUAUUAAGUUUAUGUAGUUUUUGUUUUAAAUUUUAAUGUAAGUUGUAAUUUACAUUAUGCACUUUUACCGUUGAACUGUGAAUGAUGAUUUGAAUUUAAUCAAAUGUCUUAAUUAUUUUUUGUAAAUAUAAUCAAAUUAUCUUUUGUAAUGUUAAUAAUCAAAUUUGGUCAUUGAUUAUGUUAAUGAAGUCCCAAAAUAUGUAAGGAUGUUAAUUUCCUUUUUAUUAAAAUCUUAUGUAUAUGAAAAUAGACAAAAUAGAUAUUAAAUAGUUUUAUUUCUCAUUUUUCUUGCAAUGAUAGAUAAAAUAGGUAAAGGUUGUACACACACACACACAAAUACAAAGAUAUAACAACAAUCAUUUUUAUUUUGCUUGAAUUGGCAACAAAUAAUUUAUUAAGUACAUUCUAAAAAAAAGCAUUACUGAUUUAUAACUUCGAAACAUUUCACAUUCAAAAAUACAUUCCAAUUGUAUUUCAAAAUAGAUUUUAAACAUAUUUGCAAAAUAUAUUGUAAAUGUACUCCAAAAAAUCUAGCAUUGAACAUAAUUACAUUUUGAAUGUUCUCCAUCAUAACAUUACAAAGUAUAGACCAAAAUACAUUUUAAAUUCUCCAAAACCGUUAUGGCUUCCACUAAGCUCUUCUUGUUGGUAACUUUUGUCUCAUUGUAGAGCCCUUCUUAUUGGCAAUUGUUAAAUGCCUUUUUUCAUUUGUAGUAGGCUAAAUGCAAUGGAUUACAUAUAUGUGGUGAUUUGGCUUGAUGUAGUUGGUUGGGUUUAGGAUAAACCAUCAUUGCACCAUGUAUUCCUACCAUAAAUGUUUUUCAUCUAUUAGGUAAACUAAUGGCGCAUACACAACUUCAUAUGUAUCCUUCCAAAUAUAUGAAAUAAUGUACUCCUUUUCUACCCAAGAAUAAGAAUUUGGUAUUAAUCUGCUAUGAAAUUGGAUAUGAAUCUAACAAGGAAUAUAACCAUAAUUGUAGUCAUUCAAAAGAAAAUUGAAGUCUAAUUUCCAAGCUAUAAUAAAAAAUUAAAAUAAAAAAGAAUAAUUUUUUGGUUUCGUGGUUUGUCGGAUGAUUGCAAAAAUGAGGUGUUGAGAAUUUUACAAAUUUGGUUUUGGAAUGCAAAGUGUGAGUGUAUCUCUGAGAAGAACAGAGAGAACGAGAGAGUGGGGUGGGUGCGUGUGUAAGAUCGAGACAAUGAAAUGUGAGUGGCAUUGCUAAGUAUGUGUUACGUCAUUAAUGAGAAACAAAGAGAACAAAUGAGAAUGGGGUUGACCUUGAUCUUGACCCACUUUUUUCAGGAUGACUAAGAUGGAGCUUUCUUAAGACCCCUCUUAAAUGGGAUGAUUAUAAUAUGGUUGAGAGGAAGGGUCGACCUUAGGCUAAAGGCCAAAUUGUCAGCUCUAGAUAUUGUACGUAGUUAAAAUAUUGUACAUGGUUAGAUAUCGUAUUGUUUUAUUAUAUAUUCUAAUGUAAUCCUAUUGUUGAUGAAUAAGAAAAGGUGAUCACUUUGCUCCUGAGGAUGUAGGAGACACAUUUACUGAACCUCAUUAAAGUCUUGUGUUUGUGUGUGUGAAAUCAAUUCCUUUAGAAUUUGCUUACGUUAUCAACAAUAUAAAUUCAAUCAUUUUAUGAUGCAUAAGACUUUUAAUUAUGUGUGAGAAAUAAUAUUUUAAUUAUGUGGGAGGAAUACUUUUUCAUGUUGAAAAAAGAAAAAAGAAAAAUAUCAAAAGAGGGUCGAUAACUUAAAAGACUCACCUUAUUUACCAUAAAGAAACUCAUAUGACCUCAUUUUAUAUAAUGUGUUGCAACCAUCAUUUUUCUUACAACUUCUUACAACAAUUGAAGUAUUUCUAGAAUUAGGCAUCCCCUGCUCUUUAAGACUCUGGCCCUCUCAUCUAUCUUUCCUUUUCUCAUCAUUUUGUUUCGUGCUAGGUUGUUGAUAAGUUGUACAUUCAUGAUGCACAUUUUUGUAUGAAGCUAAGAUUUAAAGAAAUGAAAAGUGCUUUUACAAAAUAUGAAAAGUUACAUUAAAAGAGUUUUGGGCACAACAAUCCUUUCAUGUGUUCUCCCUCAUGAGCAAUGUCUAAGUUUUAAACUUUUUCUUGUAAUUGUCUCAAAAUUUGUCUAUGAUUAACAAUUUAGCCAUGGAUUCGUUUUUCUCUUCUAGUGGUGGAACUCAAAGAUGGUCUCCUAUAUGCUAAUGCAUGGAUAUGACAAUGUAAACAACUUACACUCUUAUAAAUGUUCAGAAGGAAUUAUACGGAUGCCCUAAUGACAAGGUCAUUUCUUUUUCAUUUUUUGGUGUUUAAGUUUUUAUAUAAGCAUAGCAUAGGGCAACUUUUCAAGAGCUAAAGUGAACAAACUCAUGUGGGAUUCUCAACUAUAUACUAAGGAGCAAUGCAAGGCUAUCUUUACAAGGAGUGGACAAAUGAUAAUGGCAUAGAAAAAAAAUCUUAUUGGUGAAAGAAAAGAAACUGAAGUGUAGUUUAUGAUGUCUUGGAGAUGAGAGAUUGAAAUAAUAAAGAAUUAGAAUUGAGAGAAUAAUGUAAUGUAGAAAGAAAAUGAAAAAUUUGAAAAAGAAAUAAAGAAUGGAGAGAAAUAAAUAAGUGAAAAAAGUCUCUAAUUAAGUAGUAAAGCAAUAAACCUUUUUAUCAUGGAGUUAAGAAGCAAGAAUUGCCUACAUAUUUUAAGCUUCCUUAUCUUCAUUUCAAGGAGACCAAAAAGAAAGAUAUGUAAUAUGAUAAAUUCUUGAACAUUAUGAAGGAGCUCCAAAUUUGGAUUCCUUUUGCUAAAGUUUGGAGAAAUUGCCCAUAUAUGCCAAGUUCAUGAAGAAACUCUUAACUCACAAGACAAAUUUGUGAGGAGAAUAUAGAGUAACAAUCCAAUUCAAGGAAAGUUGUAAUGUUGUAUAAAGAGUUGACUCCUAAGCUUUCUUAUCCAAGGAGUUGUACUCUUUCUUGUGCUUUGUGGAAUAUCUUGGUGUGUAAAACCUUGUGUGACUUAUGAGCUAACAUUAAUCUCAUGUCGUAUUUAAUUUUCAUGAAACUUAAUGAAGGAAGACUUCAAUCUAAUGAAAUCAUUGAAUAUCUCAUUUUGAAGGAGGAUAAAUAUGUCCUUCCAACUAACUUUGUUGUCCUAGAUAUAGAAGGGUAUACUAACUAUUCUUUCAUACUACAAUCACAUGCUCAUUGAUGUAACCAAAUGACAAAUAAUUGAGAGGGUGAAUGAUGAGGAUUUUAACUUUAAUAUUAAGGAUGUAAUGAAACAUCCUCUCCACCUUGAUUAUUAUUUUUAUGUCAUGUCUCGUAGAAAGGAAAGAAUAAGAUAGAAGAAAAUAAAAUAAAAAGUGAAUUGAAAUAUGUUAGAAAUAAAGUGUAAACGAAAGGUGUUUAAUUGAAGCAAAAUAAAGAAGAGAUAAGGAGAUGAGUGAAAAUAGGUGAGAAGUAGUACAAAAGAGUCCCACCACUUUUAAAAGUAUAUCCCAAAUAAUAAAAAUAAUUUCAUCCUUCCUUUUCUCUCCCAUUUCUCUGCAACUAAAUAGAGCAUUAAGGCUGAUAUAGUUGACCAAGUGGUGUACCAAAUUAUGGAGUUGAUCACAUCCUUUACACCUUUUGAACAAGUGAUUGUAAAUGCUAUUGAAAAUCUUGAUGAUGUUGAAAGGAAAAAUUUGGAGAAGUGCAUGUCUUAAUUAGUAGGAUAAAUAUGUCUUUCUAACUAACUUUGUAAUCCUAGAUAUGAAGGAUAUUGAUUGUCCUUCCAUACUGCUAGUCAUAUGCUCAUACAUGUAACCAAAGGACAAAUCACUAUAAGAGUGAAUGAUGAGGAGAUUAACUUUAAUAUUAAGGUUGCAAUGAAACAUCCUCUUCACCUUGACUAUUGUUUUAAGGCUAACAUAGUUGACCAAGUGGUACAACAAACUAUGGAGUUGAUCAAAUCCUUUAUAUCUUUUGAACAAGUAAUCAAAAAUGUUAUUGGAAAUCUUGAUGAUUCUAAAAGAAAAGAGUUGGAGAAGUGUCUUAGUCAAUUGAAAUUUCUAAAUUCUAAAGAGUUGUUGAAAAGAAGAGAAAUGAGAAAGAGAAAGACUACAUGAAUUGGAAGAAAGAAUGUGAUGACAAAUGUAUGAUAGUCAAAGAAAAAAUUGUUGACGAGAAAUAAGAAGAAAAAAAAGCUAAGAUUUAAAUAAUAGGUCUAGAAAAGCAAUCAAGGUAUUCUAGUUGAGCAAUCUAUUAAGGUGUGAUACAAGCUCCUAAUAAUUUGGACCUUUUAAGCAUAUAUCAUAAUUUCCAUUUCGCCAUGCCAAUAAAGUAACAUAUGUGAGAAAAUGAGUUGUUUCUUAAUUAAUAUUCUACUUCUUCAAAAUAUUAGUUUCAUAACUUUCAACUAUCAAGAUAUAUUACUUUUAAAAAAAUCAUUUAACUUUUGACAUUAACAAAAGCAUGCAUUAAUAAUUUCAAUCAUUAUUUUUGUAAUUUCAAACAGUAAAUAAUCAUCAUAUGAUACCAUUAACUAUUUUUUUCUGUUAAUGUCAUUUGACUACAUUACAUUAUCAGUUAAAUCCAAAAUAACAUUAAUAAUUUUAAAAAUAAAAUAAAAUCCUUACAAUGGACAUCAAAUUAACAAGACAUAAAAUAAAUCAAAUUGAUCAAAACUACUAUCAAAUGCAUAAAUCACCUUACACGAGAUUAUUCUAGCUUAAGUAAAAGUUAGAGUUCAAGUCAUGAUAUAUAACUACAUUAAACACUUAAUUUUUUUUUUACCAUGAUAGUCUCAAAAGGCUUGAAUAGGAUUACCUUCCUAUUUUUUUUUUAAAAAAAAAACCAAAACUCACAAUUUGAUUGAUAAAUUUAUAUAUUGCAAGAGAAAGUUUGGGCGUAUAGGUGGUGAAAUACAUGAGUGAAAAGCAAGGAAGAUCUUGAACCUCUCCUGAACGAUAAGAGAAAUCCAAAAUCCUCUCACCACACCCAAUCGUUCCCGCGUUGUCCUCCACGUCCUCAUCCUUUCAUCACCUCUCUCUUCCACCAAACAAUAAAAACCUCCAAACCCACUCCAGUUAACUCCAUACACUCUCUCUCUCUCUCUCUCUCUCUCUCUACAAUGGCCUCAGCCGCAGCCCCCACAACUUUCUCUCUCCUCCACUCCACCACCCCGGCCUCCUCCUCCUCCGCCACCUCCGCCUCCCCCUCGCGCGUGCAGCUCUCCUCCUCCCUCCGCUCGCGCCCGCUCGCGCGCCGCCUUGGCUUCGCCGCGGCGGACCCGCUGCUCGCGGCGAAUGUCGCAGCGCGCGUCGCGGCGGUGAGAGGAGGAAAGGGCGCGAGGGGGGUGGUGUCGAUGGCGAAGAAGAGCGUGGGGGAGCUGAGCGCGGCGGACCUGAAGGGGAAGAAGGUCUUCGUCAGGGCCGACCUCAACGUCCCGCUCGACGACAACCAGAACAUCACCGACGACACCAGAAUUCGCGCCGCCAUUCCCACCAUCAAACACCUAAUCCAAAACGGCGCCAAAGUUAUUCUCUCCAGCC
rnacentral:lncRNA from 1 species